rnacentral:tRNA from 1 species
AGUUAUGUAGCUCAGUUUGGUAGAGCAAUAGAUUUCUAGACUGAAAAUCUAGGUUUUCGGUAACACUCUUUAAAGUGUGUCGGUUCAAAUCCGAUUUUAAACUA